rnacentral:rRNA from 1 species
AAGUNUGAUGUGAAAGCCCCCGGCUCAACCGGGGAGGGUCAUUGGAAACUGGGGAACNUGAGUGCAGAAGAGGAGAGUGGAAUUCCACGUGUAGCGGUGAANUGCGUAGAGAUGUGGAGGAACACCAGUGGCGAAGGCGACUCUCUGGUCUGUAACUGACGCUGAGGAGCGAAAGCGUGGGGAGCGAACAGGAUUAGAUACCCUGGUAGUCCACGCCGUAAACGAUGAGUGCUAAGUGUUAGGGGGUUUCCGCCCCUUAGUGCUGCAGCUAACGCAUUAAGCACUCCGCCUGGGGAGUACGGUCGCAAGACUGAAACUCAAAGGAAUUGACGGGGGCCCGCACNAGCGGUGGAGCAUGUGGUUUAAUUNGAAGCAACGCGAAGAACCUUACCAGGUCUUGACAUCCUNUGACAAUCCUAGAGAUAGGACGUCCCCUUCGGGGGCAGAGUGACAGGUGGUGCAUGGUUGUCGUCAGCUCGUGUCGUGAGAUGUUGGGUUAAGUCCCGCAACGAGCGCAACCCUUGAUNUUAGUUGCCAGCAUUCAGUUGGGCACUNUAAGGUGACUGCCGGUGACAAACCGGAGGAAGGUGGGGAUGACGUCAAAUCAUCAUGCCCCUUAUGACCUGGGCUACACACGUGCUACAAUGGACAGAACAAAGGGCAGCGAAACCGCGAGGUUAAGCCAAUCCCACAAAUCUGUUCUCAGUUCGGAUCGCAGUCUGCAACUCGACUGCGUGAAGCNGGAAUCGCUAGUAAUCGCGGAUCAGCAUGCCGCGGUGAAUACGUUCCCGGGCCUUGUACACACCGCCCGUCACACCACGAGAGUUUGUAACACCCGAAGUCGGUGAGGUA